rnacentral:rRNA from 1 species
GAUGAACGCUGCCGGCGUCCCUAAUCCAUGCAAGUCGACCGCACGAAAGAGAAGCUUGGCUCUUUCAUGUUAGCGGUGGACGGCUGAGGAACACGUGGACAACAUCCCUUUUAGAGUGGGAUAACUCGGGGGCAAAGUAACUCAAAUCCGAUAAUCGUCCGACCGGCAUGAUUAAAAGGUGAUCGGAGCUCUCGCGAUUACUUAUGCAUAGAUCGGAGCGGCAUUAGCUAGGGGGAAAGGUAAAGGCUCACCAAGGCGACGAUGCGUAGCCGACCUGAGAGGAUGAUCGGCCACACUGGAACUGAGACACGGUCCAGACUCCUACGGGAGGCAGCAGUAGGGAAUCUUCCGCAAUGGGCGAAAGCCUGACGGAGCAAUGCCGCGUGAGUGAUGAAGGCCUUCGGAUCGUAAAACUCUGUUAUUAGGAAAGAACAUAUGCGUAAUAAUCUGUGCACAUCUUGACGGUACCUAAACAAAAAGCCACGGCUAACUACGUG